UUGCCUAUCCCUGAUCUAAAUCAUACUAAUUAUGAAUGAAUUGGAGACCAGAGCCAAGACUUUAAACCUGUUGUCAAUGCAGGUCAACUUUUUCUGAUUGACUGGAGAAUCCAGAAGAUUCCAUCCCUCAUUUUCAAGAAUGCUGGUUUGUGAUUUGUCUGAUGGCAACCCACUCAGCUUGAACCAAGAAUGUCCACAUCACCGUCCUGCAGACCUCUAAUCUGUGGUCAAUGUGAUUGAGCCCGUCAUUUUCACAUCACACUCGUGCACGAGGUUCAACGUGAGGUUUCCAUGGCGGUCGCCAUGGAUGGAGCCUGGAAGCCAUGCAGAUCAGGUUUUCCCACAAAGGUCAGUUAGGUUAACAGCCGGACGGACUGGAGGAAGGAGGAGUCCGUACCCAACUCUCUGAAGCCACUAACAGGAAGGGAGAGAAGUAUAUACUACAACCUUUUGAUGAGCAGCAGGGCAAUAAAUUCAUUAAUCAUCAUUAUAUGCCUCAUCAAACUCUUUGCCAGCCUCUCCAUGGGAGUUACACAAAUUAGCCAGUGAAAAAAGCUGUAAUUUUAGAGAAGCUAGGUAAAUGCUUUUUGAUUGCUUUCUUGAACAAUGCUUCCCUGACAAGCUAAUAAAUCAGAUCUUUCUAUA